CAAAGAAUAGACCUAAUAAACUUUAUUAACACGUCCAGGAAUUGAACCCAAUACCCUAGAGGAAUGCAUAUGCAGCUGCUGCUUGUUUUGUCUCCAAGGGUAUAGCACUGGCCACCAUUGAGGCAAGGGUUUAAAACACACUAGAAGAAAGAUCCAUUCUUCUUCUUCACCUUGUACUCUGCAGCACGAUCCUUGUAGAGCAGCUCACAAACCUUAGACGAGAGAUAGUAGUUGAACAUGUAGCACAUGUCUGGUACAGCCAGGUGACAUUCCAUCUCACAUUCUCUCUCAUUCUUGGCUGUAAUAGAUGACAUGAUUGGGCCAACAAUGGUGUGGUUUACUAUGGUCUCACUAUAUGCUACUGAGGUGAUGUUUGGACUUAUUUGGCAAAAAGCAGCUGUUGAAAAUGCAUUUUUAAAUUAGUUCAGCCCAAACACUUACUAGGCUAUGCCACAGUGAGAGAGAAUGCAUAAUUGAUUAACGCUAAUUCAGGUAAGAAAACAAUUUCUCUGAACUUAGAGGAGGCAUUUUGUUAUUUACAAAACUAUUCCUAUUCCUCUUCUAUUGCUAUCCCCAAACGAGGAAUGAUAUCGUUCAAAUUUAAACAUGUUCUGCCCUAGGAAAUCGAAUGGGUUCGAGUGCAGUUUGAAAAAAAAAACAAAAAAAAACGAGUGCAGUUCAAAAUCAAAUGUGAAAAUCUUGAUUUUAAAUUGCACUAGUGAUAUCAACGUUUUUAAUUUCAAAACUGAAAUCGUAAAGCAUACUCACAGCACGAGCACUUU